rnacentral:rRNA from 1 species
UACGGAGGGUGCAAGCGUUGUCCGGAUUUAUUGGGUUUAAAGGGUGCGUAGGCGGCUUCAUAAGUCCGUGGUGAAAGCCAACAGCUCAACUGUUGAACUGCCAUGGAUACUGUGAGGCUUGAGUACAGACGAGGUAGGCGGAAUGGAUAGUGUAGCGGUGAAAUGCAUAGAUACUAUCCAGAACACCGAUUGCGAAGGCAGCUUACUAGACUGUGACUGACGCUGAGGCACGAAAGCGUGGGGAGCGAACAGG